rnacentral:rRNA from 1 species
GAGUUUGAUCUUGGCUCAGAUUGAACGCUGGCGGCAUGCCUUACACAUGCAAGUCGAACGGCAGCACGGGAGCUUGCUCCUGGUGGCGAGUGGCGAACGGGUGAGUAAUGCAUCGGAACGUAUCCUGGAGUGGGGGAUAACGUAGCGAAAGUUACGCUAAUACCGCAUAUUCUGUGAGCAGGGAAAGCGGGGGACCUUCGGGCCUCGCGCUCUUGGAGCGGCCGAUGUCGGAUUAGCUAGUUGGUGAGGUAAAGGCUCACCAAGGCGACGAUCCGUAGCAGGUCUGAGAGGAUGAUCUGCCACACUGGAACUGAGACACGGUCCAGACUCCUACGGGAGGCAGCAGUGGGGAAUUUUGGACAAUGGGGGCAACCCUGAUCCAGCCAUGCCGCGUGAGUGAAGAAGGCCUCGG